GGCAGAGAAGCCGGUUUGAAGAGAUGAGUUGGAGCUGAGGGAGAGACCGGGAGGGAGUCCCGAGGAGCAGCCAAGAAGCACGGGGUGUGACUGCUCAAUAGGAUACUCUGCGUUAGCCUCUCUCUCUCUCUCUCGCUUUUUUUUUUUUAAACAUUUAUCGCGUACAGGUCCAAACGUUGUCAGCGCUGAGCGCUCGACACACAGAGCGUCAGAACUUGUGAGCCCUCGGCCUUGUCGAAAGCUCUGGAAUUGUCGGGAGAAAUUCACUGAGAGAGUUUUAAGGUGUGGCUGUCAGGCGUCUGCGUUGGAGACGCUCACGUUUGUCGCGGGAGCGUGCUCGUCCAGGGUUCGGCCCUCGUCGUCUUCCCACCAGCCGAAGCGUUUUAGACGUGUUCGGUCAUUUUCUUCCAAAUCUUACGUAACCGACCGCCUUGCCCCACCUUGAACGUUCCGCUUCGUCUUCAACUUUGCAACCGAAAUCGGGUGGCCUCGUGCUUUUUGAGUGCUCCUCUGGGCUUUAACGAGGCCCUCCAGAAUGUAACGGACGUGGCAACUUUACAGUGGAGAGCCGCCACAGGCCAACUGGGCGUGGGGUGCAACCGGCCCGAACAGAUCAGCUGCGCAUAUUUGCUGUCAUAGUGGCGCAGCGGAACCGGCGGAUUGACCUCAAAGUGCCCACUGUACAUACACUUGUUAAAGACCAUUUUGAAUUAUGCAAGGCAAGACCAGGACCGACUUCCAGGAGUCUGCAAGGUGAUGGCUGACAGAGAUGAGUCUGCUUUCCGCUGCCUAAUACCUUCAGCAGAAUGCCCACUCUGCAGUUGAAUUCCAGCCUGGCCUUUUGGGAGUCAGUGGGAACUGUCUCCGGACGGCAGAAAUCCAGAUCUACCAUACAGCAAUCGAACAUCCAUGCGUCAUGAGUCAAACCUGGGCGGAGCUAAUUUGAAAAACGAAUAUGUGACCAGUGGCCAGGCAAAGUCACUCGACGGGAAGAAACGUGGUCAGCUAUGGGUGCCGACCAAGCAUUCCAAGCUCUGUGCUGAUGACUUCGAACCGGCGUGUUUUGAGAAACACUUAGUAGAAAGCAUUGGAUACACCGGUAGAGGCUGAAACGAGCUGCGGUGCCAACUAUUUUUCCUCCGGCCAUCGGGACCUCAACUGCCAGGAAGAGAACUAAAUCUUGCAGCCGCCACGGUGCAGCAACGAAGCGGCGCAGACCAGAGUGUCUCGCCCAGGGAAACAACAACGACAUGGGGAUACGAACCGGUGAGCCUCCAGUUACCGGUACCCUCUGCGCUACGAUGCCCAGAGAAUUGUGAAAGACUAGUUAUGUUCCUAAGAGCACAGUGGCCUCCAUAAUCCUUCAAUGGAAGACGUUUGGGACGACCAGAACCCUUCCGAGAGCUGACCGUCUGGCCAAACUGAGAAAUCUGGGGAGAAGAGCCUUGGUGAGAGAGGUAAAGAAGAACCCAAAGAUCACUGUGGCUGAGCUCCAGAGAUGCAGUCGGGAGAUGGGGAAAAAGUUCUCGAAAGUCAACAAUCACUGUAGCCCUCCACCAGUCGGGGCUUUAUGGCAGAGUGGCCCGACAGAAGUCUCUCCUCAGUGCAAGACACAUGAAAGCCUGCCUGCAAUUUGCUUAAAAAAAAAAACGAAAAAAACUGAAGGACCUGAAAUAAGAUUCUCUGGUCCAAGCUAGAACUUUUUGGCCUUAAUUUUAAGCGGUAUGUGUGGAGAAAUCCAGGCACUGCUCAUCACCUGUCCAAUACGGUCCCAACAGUAAAGCAUGGUGGUGGCAGCAUCAUGCUGUGGGGGUGUUUUUCAGAUGCAGGGACAGGACAACUGGUUUCAAUCGUAGGAAAGAUGAAUACUGCUAAGUACAAGGAUAUCCUGGACGAAAACCUUCUCCAGAGUGCUAAGGACCUCAGACUGGGCCGAAGGGUAACCUUCCAAUGAUCCUAAGUGCACAGCUAAAAUAACGAAGGAGUAGUGUCAGAAAAACUCCAUGACUGUUCCUGAAUGGCCCAGCCAGAGCCCUGACUUAAACCCAAUUGAGCAUCUCUGGAGAGACCUGAAAAUGGCUGUCCACCAACGUUCACCAUCCAACCUGACAGAACUGGAGAGGAACCGCGAGGAAGAAUGUCAGAGGACCCCCACAUCCAGACUAGCCCAACUAUAAACACACAGACAGGAAUCUUGUCUUUGACCCACAGCACUCAUAAAUGGAACUUCAAGAGAGGGGCCAAUGUCCAGACCAGGAUAUGAGAGUCAGCAUGUCUCUUUAAAGCUGCCAGCCAGAGUUUAACACAGGGAAAGAAUGUUCCGGCCUUAACAAAACCAGAUGCCCCAGCUUGCGCUCCCUCGCACACAUGGUCUGUGUUGUCUACUCAGAACUUGGAACCACAGAUUGAAUCAAGAUUUGAGUUUUUUGUGGAUUCCUUUUAGUUUCUUCUGACUCUUUUGCCCUAAUCUCCUUAUCUUGUCUGCUCCUCUUUACCUCUGCCCUUGUGCUUGGAAAGCUUUUCCUCACCCUUCACCCUUACUGGCAUACACAUGCGCACCCACACACACACACACACACACACACAGGAAACACCAAAAUGGGAUUAUUGUACUCUCUCUCUCUCUCUCUCUCUGCUGUACAUCCUCUUCUGGUAGCCCUGCCAAUACCUUGGAUUACCGCAUCACCACGGUACAUAUAAAGAUCGAACCGUGACUGUGUGUGUUGUGUAGGUUUCAGGUCACCUGCCUGAGCCACUCCCAGGGAAUCAUCUGGUGAGGGCAUCAAGCAAUUGCACCAUUACAUAUGCGUGAACAUUUUGAAGAAGAAACUUAAUUCAAAGAUGUAACCCUUUUUCUCUCUCGAAAUUCUGCAUAUUAUUUGUUUUUGUUUUUCUCCAGAUUUACCACAGCCAUUUGUUGAAUGCAGUAAAUAAAUGUUAAUUAAAUUUUAGUGCCACAUUUUCUAAUAUGAAACAGCUUCUUCUUCUUCUUCUUCUU